UACGAAGGGGGCUAGCGUUGCUCGGAAUCACUGGGCGUAAAGGGUGCGUAGGCGGUUUUUUAAGUCAGGGGUGAAAUCCUGGAGCUCAACUCCAGAACUGCCUUUGAUACUGAGGAUCUUGAGUUCGGGAGAGGUGAGUGGAACUGCGAGUGUAGAGGUGAAAUUCGUAGAUAUUCGCAAGAACACCAGUGGCGAAGGCGGCUCACUGGCCCGAUACUGACGCUGAGGCACGAAAGCGUGGGGAGCAAACAGG
rnacentral:rRNA from 1 species